AGUGAACGCUGGCGGUAGGCCUAACACAUGCAAGUCGAACGGCAGCACAGUAAGAGCUUGCUCUUACGGGUGGCGAGUGGCGGACGGGUGAGGAAUACAUCGGAAUCUACUUUUUCGUGGGGGAUAACGUAGGGAAACUUACGCUAAUACCGCAUACGACCUACGGGUGAAAGCAGGGGAUCUUCGGACCUUGCGCGAUUGAAUGAGCCGAUGUCGGAUUAGCUAGUUGGCGGGGUAAAGGCCCACCAAGGCGACGAUCCGUAGCUGGUCUGAGAGGAUGGACAGCCACACGGGAACUGAGAAACGGUCCAGACCCCUACGGGGGGCAGCAGGGGGGAAUAUUGGAAAAGGGGGGCAAGCCUGAUCCAGCCAUACCGGGUGGGUGAAGAAGGCCUUCGGGUUGUAAAGCCCUUUUGUUGGGAAAAAAAAGCAGCAGGUUAAUACCCCGCUGUUCUGACGGUACCCAAAGAAUAAGCACCGGCUAACUUCGU
rnacentral:rRNA from 1 species